rnacentral:rRNA from 1 species
GACGAACGCUGGCGGCGUGCCUAAUACAUGCAAGUAGAACGCUGAAGAGAGGAGCUUACUCUUCUUGGAUGAGUUGCGAACGGGUGAGUAACGCGUAGGUAACCUGCCUUGUAGCGGGGGAUAACUAUUGGAAACGAUAGCUAAUACCGCAUAACAAUGGAUGACACAUGUCAUUUAUUUGAAAGGGGCAAUUGCUCCACUACAAGAUGGACCUGCGUUGUAUUAGCUAGUAGGUGAGGUAAUGGCUCACCUAGGCGACGAUACAUAGCCGACCUGAGAGGGUGAUCGGCCACACUGGGACUGAGACACGGCCCAGACUCCUACGGGAGGCAGCAGUAGGGAAUCUUCGGCAAUGGGGGCAACCCUGACCGAGCAACGCCGCGUGAGUGAAGAAGGUUUUCGGAUCGUAAAGCUCUGUUGUAAGUCAAGAACGGGUGUGAGAGUGGAAAGUUCACACUGUGACGGUAGCUUACCAGAAAGGGACAGCUAACUACGUG